CGAUGUUUGAUUAGUGGAGUUGAUUCCUUUAGUCGUCAUGGCAAACAAACUGUUCGUUUCCCUUGUUGUCCUAAUGGUCCUUGUGGCCAGCGUGCCAGUACUGUCAGCAAGCGGUAAGGGCAAAGGCGGCAACCUGGGCAAGAGUGCUGGGCACAAUACAGGGCACCAACGGGCCAACAAUGGGCACCAUGUUAAUAACCAGGGGCAUCAAAAAAACCAAAACAGGGGACAACCACUUAAAGUCAAUAAACAUGGUUAAAAGCUCUCUACAGUCUACAUACCAUGUCAGAC